rnacentral:rRNA from 1 species
CUUAAGCAAUUAAGAUAGUGGCAAACGGGUGAGUAACACGUAAGUAACCUGCCCCUAAGAACGGAAUAACUCUGAGAAAUUAGAGCUAAUGCCGUAUGUGGUCUUUCCUCGAUAAGGGAUGACAAAGCCGUAAGGUGCUUGGUGA